rnacentral:precursor_RNA from 15 species
UAGACUAUCUCGAAUGCGAAUACGUGAAUAAAGAGAGCUGUCCGUCGACAGUCCAGAUACCUAUAACACUGUCAUGGAAUUGCUCUCUUUGUAUAAUAUUCGACGCUUCGCUCCGAUCACU